rnacentral:tmRNA from 1 species
GGGCUAGUAAAGGUUUCGACAGGGAUCUUGCAGCUGGUGAAGCGAGCCGUAGGGUGAUGCGUUAAAUUCCAACUUAAAUUUAAACGCUGAAGAUAAUAAUUUAGCAUACGCUGCCUAAUCGCAGCGAGUCCGCCUGACUGCACCUGCACGGACAGAUACGGGCUUCAAACAUGCAGGAAACGACAUAGCCUAAGCGUUGCGGUUAUGGACGUAAUAUGACGCUACUAAAGCUGUAAGGGUGUUCGUUCCCGUGCAGUGGAGGGAAUGUAAAAGAACGUACUACGCUCGUAGAAGAACAGGGAAUGGGUUUUUGGACACGGGUUCGACUCCCGUCUAGUCCACUU